GUGCUCGAGUGGCGAACGGGUGAGUAACACGUGAGUAACCUGCCCUUGACUUUGGGAUAACUUCAGGAAACUGGGGCUAAUACCGGAUAGGAGCUCCUGCUGCAUGGUGGGGGUUGGAAAGUUUCGGCGGUUGGGGAUGGACUCGCGGCUUAUCAGCUUGUUGGUGGGGUAGUGGCUUACCAAGGCUUUGACGGGUAGCCGGCCUGAGAGGGUGACCGGCCACAUUGGGACUAAGAUACGGCCCAG
rnacentral:rRNA from 1 species